rnacentral:rRNA from 1 species
CUGCUCCAUGAAAUUUAUUUUUAAAUAGCUGCAGUAUAAAUAACUGUACAAAGGUAGCAUAAUAAUUAGUUUUUUAAUUAAAAACUAGAAUGAAUGAUUUAAUGAAAUAUAAACUUUUUUAAUAAAAUUAAUAAUUAAAUUUAUUAUUUAAGUAAAAAAACUUAAAUAAAUUUAAAAGACGAGAAGACCCUAAGAAUUUUAUAAUAAUUUAAUUAAAAUUAAUUUAUUAAUAUUUUAAAAUUUAUAUUAUUAUUUAAUUGGGGAAAUUUUAAAAUUAAAUAAAUUUUUAAUUUUUAUUAAACAUUAAUAUAUGAAUUAAUUUAAUUUAAAUUUUAAAUAAAAAUAAAAUUACCUUAGGGAUAACAGCAUAAUUUUUUUUUUAAGAUCAAAUUUAAAAAAAAGUUUAUGACCUCGAUGUUGAAUUAAGAUUAAAUAAAAAUGAAAAAAUUUUUAAUUUUAAGUCUGUUCGACU